UUUAGAAAAGUCUAAAGUAUUCAUUUUUUCCUAAGAUUUUAUUUGGAAAAAUUUUUAGCAAACAGAAAACUUUUAAAGAAAUUUAUAAAAAAUAGCCUCAUGUAUACCUGUCCCAUAGAUUUUAAAAUUAUAAACCAUUAAUUUUUAAACAAAGAAGAUUCUGCCAUUCUCUUCCUUUUGACAAGUGUCCAGGUAGAGCACGUUCCUGCACAGACAUCAGCUCCCCUAUGUCAGAGAGCUCCUGGUUUUUUCGCAAACUUGCUUCAUUCAACACCAGUUACCUGCGGACGUGGUCCUCAUAAAAAUGUUUCUUGGUCUCCAUCUUUCAAAACUCAUGCUGUAUUUCCCCUCUCCCUCAGGCCACAAUUUCUAAGGUUUUCUUCUCUGCCUGGCCUGUCAGAUUGAGGGCGAUUGUAAAACUGCUCUGGAAGGAGUUUAUUCUGUUGCUUUAUGACACCUCCUCAGGACUCUGAAAUUAAAACUCAAUCCUCAGACAAGAUGUAGCUUUAAAAUGAAAGUAGGUAGCAACUUGAAAUCAGCCCAUUCUUUGUUUUGCACUUUAAAAAUAUUUUUAGCUGUUAUUUAGGAAAGAACAUUCUAGACUUUUAAAAAGUAUAUAUUGUCCCCUAUAAUAUGUAUGUGGAAGAGUUAAACAUGAAAACUCACUGUUUUAUCUUAAUCAGUGGGCUUAGAUAUUAUUGUAAAACAUUCUUUAUAGAAAAUAUCUCUGUGUAUGUCUUGUGGGUUUUGGGGGUCAUGCCUGUGGCAUGUGGAAAUUCCUGGGCCAGGGAUCAAACCCUCACCACUGCAGCAACCUGAGCCGCAGCGGUGACAAUGCUGGAUCUUUAACCUACUACGCUGCAAGGGAACUCUUUAUAUGUUUUUGAUGAGCCCUAUCCAAUCUGUUUUAGAAAGAACUAGGUAAAAUCCAAACCCUAAAGUCUGUAUUUUUAUGUUUAUUUUUAAGGCUACUUCUUUGCAAAAGGUUGCCGUUUAACCCCAGGUUAUAAGGUUCUAAGGUAUAGAGUUGAAUGACCCUAAUAUUUAUGUAAAAGCCUGUUGUUUUAAAGGAAGGGGCAUGAGUGAAAAGGUGCAGCUUGAGAACUGCCUUUUUACAUUGAUGGUAAGAAAUGAAAACAAUGAGAGGAAAAGAGAGAAGCCAUCAAAUGUAUCCCAGAAUUUUGCUCAUAUCCUAAUUUUGCGUUGGUCUUUAGUUUGCAUUUCAUUUGUUGGAUCUGUUCUUUAGGCCCGAAGCCUCACUGGUCCUCACUGUGCUUGUUGGAGGCACAAACCCACUUUGCCACCUUUUCCAACAGCAUUAACUUCAGAAACAUUUUUGAGUAGGUCUCCUCUGCUGAGUAUAAUCCUGGCCUGAGUAUUGAUUUCAUCUCUAUAUACUCUGGGACUUGUGAGUCUAGGACCAUGAAAAAAGAUGGUACGUUUAGAAAGAGACUAAGAAGGGGAGCUCUCUUUCUGAACGCUUCCUCACUCAGGUUUGAAAUGCCUCCUCUGUAAUGUUACCUGUGAUUGAUUGUUAGUGUUGCUUUUUAAGUCUAGGCAGGAAUCAUCUGGAAAACAUUAUCCUAAUUCCUCUUCUCAUGUCCUAAGCAGUAUAUUUUAGUAAGAAAUUCUGUAUUUGAGUUCCUGCUGUGGCACAGUGGGUUAAGGAUCCGAUUGCAGGGGCUUGGGUUGCUGCGGAGGCACAGGUUUGAUCCCUGGCCUGGUGCAGUGGUUUAAAGGAUCUGGUGUUGCUGCAGCUGUGGUUUAGGCUGCAGCUGCAUCUUGAUUCAAUCCAGGAAUUUCCAUAUGCCGCAGGCACAGCCAUAAAACAAGAGAGAAAAGAAAAGUAAUUCCAUAUUAAAAAUUUCACUAACAUCCCUUUCUGAGACUAUUGUCUCAUACAUGAAUUUGGCUCGAUCAAGCUGAAUUGUUGCCAUUUAGCCAUGUUCAAGAGCAAGGUAAGUCUGGAGAAAGCAAUCCAGCAACCUGUGACUCUGGUGUACCCAUUUCCCUUAAUAAUGGGAAGUGGUUUGAAAUUCCUAGAAGAAGGCUGCUUUGUGAUCCAAGUGAUGGAUUAUAAGAAAGACAGACUUUGGGUAAGGAUCAUUGGAAGAGAGGAGGUGCUUAAAUAUUUCCUAAACUAUAUGCCAUUUAGCUUCUAUUUCUGAAAUGUCUGCUUUGGUGCCAUAUAUUGAGAUCUAUCAGUUGACUGAAAGAUAACCAUGCUUUCUUGGUAAAUAAGCAAUUGGUAACCCAAAGGCAUUCUUUCCUUAUCAUUUUAUAUCAUGCACUGAUGCUGACAUUACAAAAAAAGAUCUGGAAGGGAAACAGCCACAGUCUUUUCUUUAAAAUACAGAGUAUCCCAAUCACUCAUUUAUUUUGGUCACUUUGUUUUAAAUGUUUCCCUUCAUGAGAAAUGCUGUCAAUAUCUCAUGUGAUUUCUAAGAGCUCUGAACCAAAUUGUUACUUGUUAUGUCCUGCUAAGUACUUUUUUCUUUAAAAUACCCUGUUUUACCACCCUGUGGCACUGAUGUGUUGCUGUGCUACACAGAUGACCCUGAGUUAGGGUUCCUGAAAUAGCUCAGUUCUUGUGUUUUUAUAUUAUGUAACAGUUUUGUGAUGCUUUUGUGCAUUCUUUGUCUUCUCUUCCAAGUUUUGAAAUCUGUCAUAAAUAAACUUUUUCACUAUGCACC
rnacentral:lncRNA from 1 species